rnacentral:rRNA from 1 species
UACGUAGGGGGCUAGCGUUGUCCGGAAUCAUUGGGCGUAAAGAGCGUGUAGGCGGCCCGAUAAGUCCGCUGUGAAAGUCCCAGGGCUCGAACCCUGGAAUGGCCGGUGGAUACUGUCGGGCUCGAGUUCGGAAGAGGUGAGUGGAAUUCCUGGUGUAGCGGUGAAAUGCGCAGAUAUCAGGAGGAACACCGGCGGCGAAGGCGGCACGUCUGGGCCGGUACUGACGCUGAGGAGCGAAAGCGUGGGUAGCAAACACGG